rnacentral:rRNA from 1 species
UCUUGGCUCGGAGGACAUUAUCGAGUUUUGAACGGGUUGUCUGCUGGCUCGCAAGGGCAUGUGCACGCCUGUCUCAUCCACUCUCAACUUCUGUGCACUUUUCAUAGGCCGGCUUGUGGGUGCGUUCGCGCACUUGUAGGUGUCGGGCUUAUGCUUUAUUACAAACGAUUCAGUUUUAGAAUGUCAUACUUUGCUAUAACGCAAUUAUAUACAACUUUCAGCAACGGAUCUCUUGGCUCUCGCAUCGAUGAAGAACGCAGCGAAAUGCGAUAAGUAAUGUGAAUUGCAGAAUUCAGUGAAUCAUCGAAUCUUUGAACGCACCUUGCGCUCCUUGGUAUUCCGAGGAGCAUGCCUGUUUGAGUCUCAUGGAAUUCUCAACCUUCAACUUUAUUGAUGAAGGCUUGGACUUGGAGGUCGUGCCGGCUCUCGUAGUCGGCUCCUCUGAAAUGCAUUAGUGCGAACGUUACCAGCCGCUUCAGCGUGAUAAUUAUCUGCGUUGCUGUGGAGGGUAUUCUAGUGUUCACGCUUCUAACCGUCUUCGGACAAAUUUCUGAACUCUGAGCUCAAAUCAGGUAGGACUACCCGCUGAACUUAAGCAUAUCAAAAAGGGGGGGAGAA